CCUGAGGCAAACAUGGAACCCUGGCCAGCCACCAGCAACACAGCAGAGAGAUGAGGAUGGUUUCAUUUCUUAGAGGAAGCACCCAGAGUUGGGCUGGGAACACCCAUGGUUGUUUAAACACUGGAGAGAGCCAAUGGGCUCCUCUAGAUGAUGAACACUGUUGGAAUGACCCCUGCAUGGGGUGCCUGCUUGGACCAAAUGAUCUCCAGGCUCUCAACCAGCCCCCAAGUUGGAUAAUUGCCCUCACAGGUCCAGCCUAUCUCAACACCCCUUCCAAAGGCUGCACUCUAGUUCCGACAGGCGGAAUGAAGAAGUUUGGGGGAGACAAGGGACGUU